CUACUAAUCCGGUAAUCCCAAAUCUACUUAAGUAUUUAUGUAAGAUUCAAUGUUUUUUUUCUUCUUAUAAUCUGAAGAUUCCAAAAUUAAAAUAAUUUUUGAACUUAAUUUUAGGAUCACAAAAGAAAAGGAGUGGGGAGGGUGUGCAAAUAAAAAAAAGUGCUAGAUGGAAUGUGACACAAAUCUAGAUAAGGAUGAUGAGUCAUUGAAGUGGGACCUAUAAAAUAAAGUAUUCUAGCCUCGAGCUUCGUGAAAUUAUCACAAGGAGGCACAUUUUGGGGAUCGAAGUUAUAUUUACAUUCUCCAAGAAUGGGCAAAACUUGAGGUUACUUGCAUCAAGAUCAGAGCAACAAGCAUGGGAAGAUGUCUCCAUACGGACAGCCUUACUGGGACCAAAAGUGAAAAGAGAUCGGAGUGCGAGCGACACGUGGGCCGUCAGAUCCAACCAUAACAUGUCUCUUUUACCUUUUACCCACAGAUUAAAAAGAGUAUUUAUUUUUAUUUUUAUCUCAUGAUCAAACAGAAUCUUAUAUAGAAGACUACUAAGAAAAGAGAGUAAUAU